UACUAGAGUAGCACUCGCAUAUCAAUAAGCGGAGGAAAAGAAACUAACAAGGAUUCCCCUAGUAACGGCGAGUGAAGCGGGAAGAGCUCAAAUUUGAAAUCUUAAAGGGUUUCCCUUUACGAAUUGUAGUUUAAAGAAGUGUUUUCUGUUGAGGUUUUGGUAAAAGUUCUUUGGAAUAGGACAUCAUAGAGGGUGAGAAUCCCGUAUUUGACCUUUACUUUCAACUUUGUGAUACACUUUCAAAGAGUCGGAUUGUUUGGGAAUGCAGUCCAAAAUGGGUGGUAAAUUUCAUCUAAAGCUAAAUAUUGGCGAGAGACCGAUAGCGAACAAGUACCGUGAGGGAAAGAUGAAAAGAACUUUGAAAAGAGAGUUAAACAGUACGUGAAAUUGUCAAAAGGGAAGCGUUUGUACACCAGUGUUGUUUUUCUGAAAAUCAAUUAAAGAACUGUUUAUGCUAAGCUGUUUAGACUUUAUCAGCUAACUGUUUAGUUUUGAGCUUUUCUUUAAUGCACUUUUCAGUUAACAAGUCAACAUCAAUUUCUUUUGCUGUAAAAAAGCUUGAGGAAGGUGGCUUGAGAUUCGUCUUAAGUGUUUAUAGCCUCUUGCCUAUGCAGUCGGAGAGAUUGAGGUCUGCAGCGUAGAUCCUUCGGGGCUAAGUGCAUUUGUGCUAAGUUAUAGCAUUUUAUAGACAACUUGUUGACUAUGAUUUGUCUUGUAGCUUACUCGCUUAUGUUAUUUUACCUACGCUUAGGAUGUUGAUAUCGCGCUCUCACUG
rnacentral:rRNA from 1 species